rnacentral:tRNA from 1 species
GCGGGUGUAGCUCAAUGGUAGAGCACCACCUUGCCAAGGUGGAUGUUGACGGUUCGAGUCCGUUCACCCGCUCCA